GGAUGUGAGGGCAAUCUGGCUGCAACAUCUCUCACCCCAUUGAUUGCCAGGGUUGAUUCAGCUGAUCUGGCUGGCUAGGCGGGUGUCCCCUUCCUCCCUCAACACUCUAUAUGUAUCUCUCCUGAAGCUGUGUGCUCAGUCAAAGAGGACAACCACCUUCGACAGAGAAGGACCUUUCCUUGGUCAAGAGUAUACUAGCAGUGGCGCUCCCCUACUCGAACCUCCAAACAAGCUUUCAAGAAGACAUAAUUGUCUUGUUCCUUAUUUUAGAGGGGAAGCUUUCAGCUUCUCUUAAGAUGUUAGCUAUUGGUUAGUCAUAGAUGAUUUUUAUCAGAUUGAGAUA
rnacentral:snRNA from 1 species